UACGUAGGGUGCAAGCGUUGUCCGGAAUUAUUGGGCGUAAAGAGCUCGUAGGCGGUCUGUCGCGUCUGCCGUGAAAGUCCGGGGCUCAACUCCGGAUCUGCGGUGGGUACGGGCAGACUAGAGUGAUGUAGGGGAGACUGGAAUUCCUGGUGUAGCGGUGAAAUGCGCAGAUAUCAGGAGGAACACCGAUGGCGAAGGCAGGGUCUCUGGGCAUUAACUGACGCUGAGGAGCGAAAGCAUGGGGAGCGAACAGGA
rnacentral:rRNA from 1 species